AUCCUUACCUGAUAGGGGAAAUGCCAUGAUCACAGGCCAUUUUCCCAGGAUGUGUUAACUUUUAUGAAUUUCCCCAAAUGUUAGAAACUUGACUGCAUAAUUUGUGGUAGUUGAGACUUUGGCCAUGUAUGUAAAGUUCUUGC
ensembl:snRNA U1 U1 spliceosomal RNA